rnacentral:pre_miRNA from 1 species
AAAAUACUUUCUUUGUUCGAAAUUACUUGUCGCAGAAAUAGAUGUAUUUAGAUGUAUUUUAGUUCUAGAUAUAUCCAAAUUCAAGACAAGUAAUUCCGAAUGGAGGGAGUAAUAU